rnacentral:rRNA from 1 species
UACGUAGGCGGAAUAUUAAGUCAGUGGUGAAAUCCUGCGGCUCAACCGUAGAACUGCCAUUGAUACUGAUAUUCUUGAAUGUAGUUGAGGUAGGCGGAAUGUGUAAUGUAGCGGUGAAAUGCUUAGAUAUUACACAGAACACCGAUUGCGAAGGCAGCUUACUAAACUAUGAUUGACGCUGAGGCACGAAAGCGUGGGGAGCGAACAGGAUUAGAUACCCUGGUAGUCC